AAAUUGAAGAGUUUGAUCAUGGCUCAGAUUGAACGCUGGCGGCAGGCCUAACACAUGCAAGUCGAACGGUAACAGGAAGCAGCUUGCUGCUUUGCUGACGAGUGGCGGACGGGUGAGUAAUGUCUGGGAAACUGCCUGAUGGAGGGGGAUAACUACUGGAAACGGUGGCUAAUACCGCAUAACGUCGCAAGACCAAAGAGGGGGACCUUCGGGCCUCUUGCCAUCAGAUGUGCCCAGAUGGGAUUAGCUAGUUGGUGAGGUAACGGCUCACCAAGGCGACGAUCCCUAGCUGGUCUGAGAGGAUGGCCAGCCACACUGGAACUGAGACACGGUCCAGACUCCUACGGGAGGCAGCAGUGGGGAAUAUUGCACAAUGGGCGCAAGCCUGAUGCAGCCAUGCCGCGUGUAUGAAGAA
rnacentral:rRNA from 1 species